UACAGGGGGUGCAAACGUUGCUCGGAAUUAUUGGGCGUAAAGCGCGCGUAGGCGGCCUUGUAAGUCGGAUGUGAAAUCCCUCGGCUUAACUGAGGAAGUGCAUCCGAAACUGCAAGGCUUGAGUACGAAAGAGGAUCGCGGAAUUCCCGGUGUAGAGGUGAAAUUCGUAGAUAUCGGGAGGAACACCGGUGGCGAAGGCGGCGAUCUGGGUCGAGACUGACGCUGAGGCGCGAAAGCGUGGGGAGCGAACAGG
rnacentral:rRNA from 1 species